GACGAACGCUGGCGGCGUGCCUAAUACAUGCAAGUCGAACGGUCUUUUCUAUGGAAGCUUGCUUCCACUGAGAAGAUAGUGGCGAACGGGUGAGUAACACGUGGGUAACCUGCCCAUAAGAGGGGGAUAACAUCCGGAAACGGGUGCUAAUACCGCAUAGUUUUCUUGAUCGCAUGAUUGAGAAAGGAAAGACGGCCUUUGUGCUGUCGCUUAUGGAUGGACCCGCGGCGUAUUAGUUAGUUGGUGAGGUAACGGCUCACCAAGACGAUGAUACGUAGCCGACCUGAGAGGGUGAUCGGCCACAUUGGGACUGAGACACGGCCCAAACUCCUACGGGAGGCAGCAGUAGGGAAUCUUCCGCAAUGGACGAAAGUCUGACGGAGCAACGCCGCGUGAGUGAAGAAGGUUUUCGGAUCGUAAAGCUCUGUUGUCAGAGAAGAACAAGUUGGAGAGUAACUGCUCCAGCCUUGACGGUAUCUGACCAGAAAGCCACGGCUAACUACGUGCCAGCCGCCGCAGUAACAC
rnacentral:rRNA from 1 species